CGUCUUGCUAGAGACGUUAAACACUAGUUGUUCGUAGAAUUUUCAAAAAAAAAAAAAAAAAAAUGCAUUUUAUUAUUAUUUUGUUUUCUUUUCUUUUUGUACAUUUAUGUAUUUUUAAAUUCAAAAAGAAAAAAAAAAAAAUUUGUUGUGAUAGGUAGAAUAAGUUGGUAUUUGAUUUUAUUUUAAUUUUUAGUAGUAUUAUUUUAAUUUUAAUUUUUAUAUAUAUUUAAUUUUAGUAUAUAUAUUUUUCUUUUUAGUUUUACUUAAAAAAAAAAAAAAAAAUUAAGUUGGUAAGUGAUUUUAUUUUAAUUUUAUUUAUUAUUAUUUUAAUUUUUAUCUAUUUUUCAUUUCAGUGUAUAUAUUCUUUUUAGUUAUUAUUUUUUUUUUAUUUAUUUAUUUUUAGUGUAUAUAUUAAAAAAUAAAUAAAUUAAAGAAGAAAAAAAAAAGAAGCAAAAGAUGGAUCACCAUCUUGGCAGAGAGCAACAAAAAAAUGUUCCAAGUAGAUUGAUCCCCCAAUCACGUGGAUCGAUCCCUUUUUACCUAUGUCGCCACUUUCUCAUUCUACAGUGAAGGGCCAAUUUUGUGUCUAAAAUUAUCGAUCCCCUUAACUGAUGGAUCGAGCCCGUUAGCUUGCAUUCCCAUCUCUCUCUCGUCUGCAUUCACUGCCAACCCUAAAAUCUCUUAACCCAAGUUCUUCAAACCCUCGCUUUCUUCGACCAUCCUCUCUAUUCGAUCCUCUCUGUUCUAUCCUCUCUUGCGCCGUGUUGAAGAGGUCGUUCAACGGCGUCGCUGUUGGGUGGUGGGUUAUUUCCCGACGAUUUUACUUCGCCGUUCUCUGUUGCAUCUGGGCUAGCGAUCGCCGCUGGGUUUUUCUCCGAGAUCGCGGCUGUACAACUUUCCAGCGUCGGCUGGGUCUUUCCGGCGGGUGUGUUAAUCGCUGUAUUUCUCCGACGAGGUUGGGUCGCCGAGAUUACAUCACCGCGGCUGGUUUUUCUUUUUCAGCGCGUUUGGCUUAGUUCUCUGGCGUCUGCGGCUGUUGGGUCGCCGAGAUUACAUCGUCGCGGUUGGUUCGUUCGCCGGCUUGUUCGCUUCACCUGCAGUUUAGGCGUUGGGUUGUGGAUUUCGCCGACUGUGGGUUGCGUUUGAGGCUGUUGGGUAGAGAUUUCGCCGGCUUGUUCGCUGCGCUGGCGACGCGGCUGUUCGUCUUCCGGCGUCGCCUCUAUUCGUCUUUCUGGCGUCCCAUCUGUUCGUUUUCCAGCGAUUCGCGGCUGGGUUCGUCAACGAUUCGCGGCUGGGUCGUUCUCCGGCGAUCUCGGCUAGCACCGGCGAUCUGUUUCAUCCUCCGACGUUGCGACUGCUUCUUCUUCAGCGAUUCCGGCGUCUGGUUCUUCCAACAGCGAUCGCGGCGGCUCUUUCCGGCAAUUCCGGCUGGGCUUAAAUUCCGGCGCUGUUUGAGACUCGCCCUUUAUUUUUCUGGCGUUGCAACUGGCUGUUCCCUCCAGCGAUUUUGGCUAGAUUUUGAUUUGGUUUCUUCAUCAAUUUCGGCGGCUUUUGACUGGGUUUUCUCCGGCAAGUAUGUGGGGCAAUAAAGUUAAAAUGAGUUAAGAACGGUCCAAUUAAGCCUUUUUGGAGUUAAGCAAAGAUUUUCAGAAAAUGGCACAAAGCGGUCAAUCUCGGGCCUUUGAUGAUGUUCCCAAAGAUGGAGAAGCAAACCAAAUAGCCCAGGGCAAAAAUGGAGCUGAAUAAGGCUUAAAGGAAUUUUCCAACUCUGGGGGAUCGAUCCCCCAGGGUGGGGGAUCAAUCCCCCAGGACUUGGCAACAUUGCAUAUUUUUAUUUUAAUGUUUGGGCUUAUUUUGUAACCUAGUGGGCUUUAAUAGGUUUAUUACUUAAGCCCAGUGAGGCCCAUUGUUUUUAGGGUUAGUAUUUAUUAGUUUAGUGAUUUAUUAUUUGGGGAAUGAAGUUUUGAUUAUUAUUUUGAAUCUGUAUCGUGAUAUCGUUCUCUCUGGAAGAAAACGAAAGGAAGAAAAAAAAAGCGAGGGUUUCAAGAAUAUUUUUUUACAGAGGCUUUGUCUACAGUUGAAGGAAGAAGAAGAAGGGCCAAAAGAUGGAGAUAGGACUUGUUGACACCAUGAUCAUCUCCUCCAUGAGCUAGUUCUUCACUUAGGGCUUGGAUGAGCCCUAAGUUCAUGUAACCCUAACCUUUGUAUUUCUUUUCUUGGGGAAUUAUUAUGUUGUAAUUAAAUUGUAUGGCCUUGCGAUUUCUUAAUAUAUACAUGCUUGAUUUGAUAAA